rnacentral:rRNA from 1 species
CGGACGGGUGAGUAAUGUCUGGGAAACUGCCCGAUGGAGGGGGAUAACUACUGGAAACGGUAGCUAAUACCGCAUAACGUCGCAAGACCAAAGAGGGGGACCUUCGGGCCUCUUGCCAUCGGAUGUGCCCAGAUGGGAUUAGCUAGUAGGUGGGGUAACGGCUCACCUAGGCGACGAUCCCUAGCUGGUCUGAGAGGAUGACCAGCCGCACUGGAACUGAGACACGGUCCAG